GAUUAACGCUGGCGGCGUGCAUAACACAUGCAAGUCGAACGAUGAAACUUAGUAGACUUCUUCGGAAAGACACUAAGCGGCUUAGUGGCGAACGGGUGAGUAACGCGUGAGUAACCUGCCUUACACAAGGGGAUAGCCUUUGGAAACGAAGAAUAAUACCCUAUCAAACCAUAAAAGCACAUGCUAGAAUGGUCAAAGUGAUAGCGGUGUAAGAUGGACUUGCGUCUGAUUAGCUAGUUGGUGAGAUAAACGCUCACCAAGGCAACGAUCAGUAGCCGGCUUGGGAGAGUGUACGGCCACAUUGGGACUGAGACACGGCCCAGACUCCUACGGGAGGCAGCAGGGGGGAAUUUUGCACAAUGGGGGAAACCCUGAUGCAGCGACGCCGCGUGAUUUAGAAGGCCUUCGGGUUGUAAAAAUCUUUUGUAUAGGAAGAAAAUGACAGUACUAUACGAAUAAGGCCCGGCUAAUUACGUG
rnacentral:rRNA from 1 species